rnacentral:rRNA from 1 species
ACACAUGCAAGUCGAACGGAGCUUAGAGAGCUUGCUUUUUAAGCUUAGUGGCGAACGGGUGAGUAACGCGUGAGUAACCUGCCCUAGAGUGGGGGACAACAGUUGGAAACGACUGCUAAUACCGCAUAAGCCCACGGUGCCGCAUGGUACUGAGGGAAAAGGAUUUAUUCGCUUUAGGAUGGACUCGCGUCCAAUUAGCUAGUUGGUGAGGUAACGGCCCACCAAGGCGACGAUUGGUAGCCGGACUGAGAGGUUGAACGGCCACAUUGGGACUGAGACACGGCCCAGACUCCUACGGGAGGCAGCAGUGGGGGAUAUUGCACAAUGGGGGAAACCCUGAUGCAGCGACGCCGCGUGGAGGAAGAAGGUUUUCGGAUUGUAAACUCCUGUCGUUAGGGACGAUAAUGACGGUACCUAACAAGAAAGCACCGGCUAACUACGUGCCAGCAGCCGCGGUAAAACGUAGGGUGCAAGCGUUGUCCGGAAUUACUGGGUGUAAAGGGAGCGCAGGCGGGAAGACAAGUUGGAAGUGAAAACCAUGGGCUCAACCCAUGAAUUGCUUUCAAAACUGUUUUUCUUGAGUAGUGCAGAGGUAGAUGGAAUUCCCGGUGUAGCGGUGGAAUGCGUAGAUAUCGGGAGGAACACCAGUGGCGAAGGCGGUCUACUGGGCACCAACUGACGCUGAGGCUCGAAAGCAUGGGUAGCAAACAGGAUUAGAUACCCUGGUAGUCCAUGCCGUAAACGAUGAUUACUAGGUGUUGGGGGAUUGACCCCCUCAGUGCCGCAGUUAACACAAUAAGUAAUCCACCUGGGG